UAAUACGAGGGGGGCAAGCGUUGUCCGGAUUUAUUGGGCGUAAAGAGUUCGUAGGCGGGUUAGUAAGUCGAUAUUGAAAUACAAUGGCUUAACCAUUGACACAAUAUGGAUACUGCUAAUCUUGAAUUAUGUAGAGGUAAGUGGAAUUUCUGGUGUAGCGGUGAAAUGCGUAGAUAUCAGAAGGAACACCAAAGGCGAAGGCAACUUACUGGGCAUUAAUUGACGCUGAGGAACGAAAGCGUGGGUAGCAAACAGGAUUAGAGACCCUGGUAGUCCACGCCGUAAACGAUGAGUACUUGGUGGCGGGAGAUUCGACCCUUUCGCUGCUGGAGUUAACGCAUUAAGUACUCCGCCUGGGGAUUACGACCGCAAGGUUG
rnacentral:rRNA from 1 species